rnacentral:tRNA from 1 species
CGCGGGGUGGAGCAGCCCGGUAGCUCGCCAGGCUCAUAACCUGGAGGUCGUCCGUUCAAAUCGGACCCCCGCAACCA